rnacentral:rRNA from 1 species
CCAGACUCUACGGGAGGCAGCAGUAGGGAAUCUUCGGCAAUGGACGAAAGUCUGACCGAGCAACGCCGCGUGAGUGAAGAAGGUUUUCGGAUCGUAAAACUCUGUUGGUAGAGAAGAACGUUGGUGAGAGUGGAAAGCUCAUCAAGUGACGGUAACUACCCAGAAAGGGACGGCUAACUACGUGCCAGCAGCCGCGGUAAUACGUAGGUCCCGAGCGUUGUCCGGAUUUAUUGGGCGUAAAGCGAGCGCAGGUGGUUUAUUAAGUCUGGUGUAAAAGGCAGUGGCUCAACCAUUGUAUGCAUUGGAAACUGGUAGACUUGAGUGCAGGAGAGGAGAGUGGAAUUCCAUGUGUAGCGGUGAAAUGCGUAGAUAUAUGGAGGAACACCGGUGGCGAAAGCGGCUCUCUGGCCUGUAACUGACACUGAGGCUCGAAAGCGUGGGGAGCAAACAGGAUUAGAUACCCUGGUAGUCCACGCCGUAAACGAUGAGUGCUAGAUGUAGGGAACUAUAAGUUCUCUGUAUCGCAGCUAACGCAAUAAGCACUCCGCCUGGGGAGUACGACCGCAAGGUUGAAACUCAAAGGAAUUGACGGGGGCCCGCACAAG